UCUGUCUUUGUAGUGACUCCAGGCUUGCAGUAGUUGAUACUAUGGGCUGGUCCAGUUGACUCUGAAAGUCUCCUGCUAGAUGAUGGGUCUGUACAACCGUGACAGUUGCAGUGCUCCCAGCGCCCAGGGAGAGGUGUGACAACAAAGAAGACUCCAGGGAGAUAAAGAGGCCCACAGAGGGAAGGAGAAUGCUUUCUGCCUGGCGGCCUCCACUAAGGACACCUUGUCGGGAAGCCACUGCAACAUGAACAGACCACCUUAACAAACCGGCCCUGAAAGGACCACCUUAUCAGACUGGCCCUGGAAGGCAACCGCAGCUUCCUUCGCAUCUGAGGCCUGGCCGGAGCAGAGAACCUUCGAGGCCCAUCAAGUCAUCUGAGGUCUGGCUGGAACUGCGAACUCCAGAUGCUGGAGGCAAAGUGUCCGAGCCCUACCUGUGGCCAGCUUCUUUGACAAUGAGACAGGUCAUUUCCUGGCAGCACCCCACCCACCUCAAAGAAGAUGAUGAGCUUCGAAGAACCUCCAUAUGGAGAUGGCUUCAAAUGUGGCAAACAAGCCACUCGGAUAAAGAAAAUAGCCUCGCUUCACAACAGACAACUUCUGCCAAAAAUGGGCAAACUUAAAUGCAGGACAAAUCGACUGCCGAACUCUGCCAAGACAGGGGUAUGGAAAACUCAGGUAGAUACCUGAAAGACUGACUUGACCCGUGGAAGAUGGACAAAGAAGGCCCUAAGUGUCUGCAGGGGCUAGACCUGAGGAAAGGAAAGUGAAUGGGGGUGAUGGAGUCAUUGAGCCAUGAAAAAGAGUCUCCUUGUCAGCAAUGAUUCAGAUGAAGAAACUAGUUGACUGAGGGAAAAGAGUUGAAGUCUUGGUGGAUGGGUGUUGUUUCUUGCUGUGUUGUCGCUAUUGAAUACGUCUGUUACUGGUGAUCAUACUGUUCCCUAGGCAAAGAUGGUCACAUGACAAUCGAGGCAGUGAUAUUCAGGCUUUGCAUGAUGAACUAUUUAGCAAUCAGCCCUGAAAUUUAGAUAAAUUCCCCCCUUCAUUACUGUGCAAAACCUAUCAAAGAUUUUUGGUCAUUAUUUUUCUAAUUUUAAUUGGGCUCUAAAAUGUGGUCCAUAGGAAUUUCUUUGGGAUUUUUUAGUUGGUUAUGCGGAGAAGCAUUAUAGCUUUGAGACUGAUUUGCUUCUGCAUGUCUUCUUUGAAUUUUGACAUGUAUACUUUGAAUUAAGAAGGGGAGGGCCUGUGGGGAAUUAUGGUUUUGGCCUGGCAUACAGUUGGUAUGAGAAGCAUGUGCCAGUGGUCUUUUAGUUUAGAGACCUUAGCUCCUGAAGCACUGUGUCCCUUUCAGUGUGUCCCAACACUUAAAGAACUCCCUCAGAGACUUGAACAUUCAAGCCACCUGUGUUCUCUGUCUUCCCUAGAAGUCAGGAAAACAUCCAGAAGCUUGGUAAACAUUUAAUUAAUUAGACAUUAAUUCUGUGUACCCUUAUAGCUUGCAGAUGUCAUUGUAUCCUGGCAGUUACAAUUGUAUUCUCUCUGGAAACUUCCAUCAUAUCCUGCUUCUGAUAAUGAUGUUAAAAUUCUUGCUGCAUGCAAUAAAUUUGUCACAUCCCUAAUUUUCAUGUAGCCCCUCUGACCCGUGCCUAAAAGAUGAAAUAUCCUUUGACCAUAAUCAGGUAUCACUGGCUUGGUAAGUAAGUGCUGAUGUUUACACCAAGACAAAGAACUUUUAAUUCCACUAAGGCUUGCUGAAAUUUACUGAUUCUAUUUUGAAGCCCCAACCCCUUCUCAUUCACUGCCCUUUCCUAAAUCAGUCACCCACCUCCACAUCCAUCAUGGUAGUCAGAACAAGGCAAUUAUUAAAAUAGAACAGGCACAUAUGAAGAAAUGACUCAGGGAGUAGAGGCUAGCACAUAGGCACAUGAAUCUGCAUUCAAAUUUUCAUCUCUGACCGCCCCCCAUAAACUCUGGGUCCCGUACCCCUUUUCCCAGGUACCCUUUUUCCAACUGGAGAAUGUCUUUCCCUGCUAUUGGAAACAAACGGUAACUUCUGCUGAAGGCAGUCUAGUCUCUUUCUGCCUUCUCCCUUUCUAUAUUGCUUUUUAAAUAUAACAGCAUCCAUGGAGUUAAACCUCCCUACCCACCUCUGAAAAGCCCACCUCUUCAGUCAUACCACAUAAGAGACUGCAGAUGUCCAAACUGCAUCAGCUAAUUCUCACUUACACUCAUGGUAUUUAGGAUGGUACUAGAAUAAGGGUCUUUAACAUCCUGUUUUUAUAGAGCCGUCAAUUUUCUUCACGGUUACUGAACAUCCAAACAUGGUUUCUAUGAACAGGUUCAAAGUCUUUUCCUGACCUCACUUAAAAUGACAUCUCUACUUCCAUUGUCAGUUAUCCAUGACUUCCACUUCCGUAAGAAAGAAAGACAUUUUUCUCAGUGAAUUAUAUAAGAUCCGUAUUACUCUGCUGUUGAGUUUUAGAAACUCCAUCUUACAUAAUGCCUGUUGCUCAACUGAACUCUCCUUGUUUGCCGCUGCUCCAAUGCAUUAUGCUCAUCAGAGCCUAUGAAACACCUGGUCAGUCCCUCACAUCCUGUUCCUGAGAUCUAUGUUUCUAAACAACAACUACUUACCAAUUAGGCAUCUGCAGUAAGAGGCUUCAUUUUUAACAAAAUAAUGAGAUGUAAAAAUAGAGUUUCUGCUGUCACUCUAAACCAUGAAACUUUCUGAAAAUCAGACCCUGUUUAAAUGAUGCUUGACAGACAAUGUGAUUUCACAAGGUUCAGUUUACACAGAGAAUAUAAGAGAAUCUUCUGGAGUUCAAAGACAAAUGAAAUCAAUUCCAUUGAAUUUAUUUAUUUAUUUUUAAUCAAAGAAGGAAAAAAUGGCUGGAACACAACACAACAUGGCUGGAAACAAUGACACAUCUUCAACACCAGCACUUGGAAUGUGUGACUCUGUUGCAUCUAUUCAAUAGGCCAUAAGAUUACAGAAUUAUAUUGCAUAAUCCUAAUUUGAUUCUUACAUCCCCUUAUGAAAAAAUUCCUAAUUCUGGACGUACAUUUUAUCCAACAUGAACUAUAUUCUUUGAAAUUCAUUUAUUAUAUGGUGCUUUCAGAUUUGGAACCCAUAUUUACUUAUUUUCAGAAAAUCCAUUGGGUACUCCAAUU